CAAAAAAUCGGCACUUUGUUUUCGUUUUAUUUUUGUACAAAAAGUCGGGCUUAAUUCAAAAUCAAUGUCCAAUUUGGAUUACUCAGCCUUACAGUGUGAAAAAAUAGACAGUGGAAAAAAUUCUGCUCAUUGUGCUGAUCUGCACAAUGCCAGAUUCAUUGGAGAUUGAUCGUAAAUCUUCAGCUUCCCAGGCAGACACCCAUCCACAAAGCCAUGGGUGAUAGAUGAUAUUUACAGCAGGCACGACUGUUUUGUAAAUUGGUAUCACUUAUACAAAGCAAAACAGCAAAUUUAGAUCAUGUGUCUCAACGAAAAUGGCUAUCUCCUUUUGCGACAUCAGUCCUCCCCAGUGUGUCAUUCUGAUGCAGAACUCUUGAAAUCAAGUUGAAGGUUUUGAACCAUCUCAGGCCAAAGCUGAAGUUCUAGAGGUAUUAGAAAAAUCGUCGCUUUUUGGUUAGAGUUUCUUCGCCGUCCGAUGCACCAAUUGAAAUGAUGUUCACUUCCUCGACAUAAUUGCUCACAUAAUUUAAGAACUUUGUGCUUCGAAAAAGUUGUACUUCUCUUCAAUUUCCAAAGGAAAACUAUGAUGGAUUAUUCUUAUAUCGAGGUUAUAUCGAUCCGCAAAGGUAAAUCAGAAGAGGGUAUUCUUUUCCUUGGCUGGAACGGAAAUCUGGUGAGCAGGAUGCAACGGACUAAGUCAUGUCAAACCAUUAGCUGAAUACAAUGAAUACCAUCAGUUCCCCAGAACGAGAGGUUAAUAAUCAUACUGAAUCAAAAGAGGCAUCAAGUUAAACGAGAUUUUAAAAUGAUAACAGUUGGAAGCGCAUGUGGAAAUUUCGAAAAACGCUUCCUAGACGUUACCUUUUGUCGCUGAUUCAUCUCGAAGAUAAAAUAAGUUAUUUUUAUAAAUUGAAGUGCAUAUCUGGGCUCCCUUCUUUUCUGUGGCCCCGUUUCCCCUUGACUUGUGAUAAGCCCGUAGGGGGUCAUGCCCCUACUGUGAUCAGCAGCAAAGGUUGUGAGU